UGUGAAGAAUCCGAAUCUUUUCAUUUUCAGUGCUGGUAGCGCGAUGAUUGGAAAAUUCCAAUAGACGAUCAGAUUCAGUUUUUCUGUUUGUUAGCACCGAGCAAUAUUCUCUCUAUAUGACGGCGAUUUGUAAAUACUCGACCAGACAAUGUAAGAUUGACAACAUGAGCAUCUAUCUACGCAGUUGUGAUACGCCGAUAUCCUAAACCAAGUCAGCCAGUAAGACCUCGCCUAUUACGACAAGUAUGAGUUUCUGAAGACCAAUUCUAACCCAGAAUCUCCUUGGACGACAAACCAACAUGUUAACUGGGCCGAUCUGCUCUCCUUAUACCCUGCGGUCGUUGCUUAAGUGGGACAAAAUGGUACAAGGGAGAGGAAGACGGUAUGUUUUCGUUUCGAGUUACCUAAAGUGAUUUACUACAACAACCUUGGACACAGGAGACCAAGUCUUGCAGUACGCAUGUGCAGAGGUUCGUCCACCAGGGAGGAUGCCAACUCUUUUUCGAUACGCCAGAUGCCAAGUUAUGACAUUUCGGAUGCCGUGAUGCGCGUCGUACUGACAACGGACUUCAAAAUGAUGAUGACAAACUGGAUAAUAACACAACAGGCGUAUUAUUGUCACAGCAUUGUAAAUGGUGUCAUGCUGUUCAUGGCGUGUCGUUACUGGUGGUGAUGUUGUUGUUGUUGUCGGCAAGGUGCACUUCGGUUGAUGCUGUAGAUGUUUCUUCUGCGGAGGUUGAGCCCGAUGAUACGCUUGAGUUAGCAAUGAAAGUGUUCGUUCCUCACAUUGAGGGGGCAGUGGGGUAGCCUAGUGGCUGAAACAUUCGCUCGUCACACCGA